rnacentral:rRNA from 1 species
CCACACUGGGGGAACUGGAAGAACACGGCCCAAAACUUCCUAACGGGAGGGCAGCAGUGGGGGAAAUUAUUUGGAACAAAUGGGGGGCAACCCUUGAUUCCAGCAAUUGCCGCGUUGUGUGAAAGAAAGGCCUGCGGGUUUGUAAAAGCACUUCUUCAGUAGGGAAAGAAGGGCGGCCGAAGUAACGAUUCGGUCGUUUGACGUUUACCUACAGAAGAAGCACCGGCUAACUCCGUGCCAGCAGCCGCGGUAAUACGGAGGGUGCGAGCGUUAAUCGGAAUUACUGGGCGUAAAGCGCGUGUAGGCGGGUUGAGUGAGUCAGAUGUGAAAGCCCUGCGCUUUAACCCUGGAUGGCAUUUGAUACUGCUUGGCUAGAGUCUGACAGAUGUGCGCAUUCUGGUGUAGCGUGAAUGCGUAGAUAUCUGAAGACAUCGUGGCAAGCGACUACUGGUUCAGACUGACGCUGAAGGUGC